rnacentral:rRNA from 1 species
GGCCCGCACAAGCGGUGGAGUAUGUGGUUUAAUUCGAUGCAACGCGAAGAACCUUACCAGGGUUUGACAUCCUGCGAAUCUCUUGGAAACGAGAGAGUGCCUUCGGGAACGCAGUGACAGGUGGUGCAUGGCUGUCGUCAGCUCGUGUCGUGAGAUGUUGGGUUAAGUCCCGCAACGAGCGCAACCCACGUCGUUAGUUGCCAGCAUUUUAGUUGGGCACUCUAGCGAGACCGCCGGUGAUAAACCGGAGAAGGUGUGGAUGACGUCAAGUCAUCAUGCCCCUUACAUCUGGGCUACACACGUACUACAAUGCUACGGACAAAGGGCUGCAAGUUCGCGAGGACAAGCAAAUCCCAUAAACGUGGCUCAGUUCAGA